rnacentral:lncRNA from 1 species
AAUAACUUUUCCUUUAAAGUACUAUAAAUAUCUUAAUACACCAACUCAAACAAAUCAUCUUUCUUGAGAGGAGAAUGAUGUUUGAAUGAAGCUCUCUUAUAUUUUUCAACUAAAUCGUGAACACACAUGUCUAACCUUGCACAUUUCAAUCCUGAAAACAAAUUCUUUUUAGCUAGACAAUCAGGUCUCUUGUCACUGAUAAGACU